UCGGGAAUUUUGGGCAAUGGGCGAAAGCCUGACCCAGCAACGCCGCGUGAAGGAUGAAGUAUUUCGGUAUGUAAACUUCGAAAGAAUAGGAAGAAUAAAUGACGGUACUAUUUAUAAGGUCCGGCUAACUACGUGCCAGCAGCCGCGGUAAUACGUAGGGACCAAGCGUUGUUCGGAUUUACUGGGCGUAAAGGGCGCGUAGGCGGCAAUUCAAGUCAUCUGUGAAAUCUCCGGGCUUAACUCGGAACGGUCAGAUGAUACUGCUUUGCUAGAGUGUAGCAGAGGGGGGUAGAAUUCCACGUGUAGCAGUGAAAUGCGUAGAUAUGUGGAGGAAUACCGAUGGCGAAGGCAGCCCCCUGGGCUAACACUGACGCUCAUGCACGAAAGCGUGGGGAGCAAACAGGAUUAGAUACCCAGGUAGUCCCUGAGCGGGCUGGCAAGGCGCAU
rnacentral:rRNA from 1 species